UACGAAGGGGGCUAGCGUUGCUCGGAAUUACUGGGCGUAAAGCGCACGUAGGCGGCUUCUUAAGUCGGUGGUGAGAUCCUGGAGCUCAACUCCAGAACUGCCUUCGAUACUGGGAAGCUCGAGUCCGGGAGAGGUGAGUGGAACUGCGAGUGUAGAGGUGAAAUUCGUAGAUAUUCGCAAGAACACCAGUGGCGAAGGCGGCUCACUGGCCCGAUACUGACGCUGAGGUGCGAAAGCGUGGGGAGCAAACAGG
rnacentral:rRNA from 1 species